rnacentral:rRNA from 1 species
UACGAAGGGGGCUAGCGUUGCUCGGAAUCACUGGGCGUAAAGGGUGCGUAGGCGGGUCUUUUAAGUCAGGGGUGAAAUCCUGGAAGCUCAACUCCAGAACUGCCUUUGAUACUGAAGAUCUUGAGUUCGGGAGAGGUGGGUGGAACUGCGAGUGUAGAGGUGAAAUUCGUAGAUAUUCGCAAGAACACCAGUGGCGAAGGCGGCUCACUGGCCCGAUACUGACGCUGAUGCACGAAAGCGUGGGGAGCAAACAGG